rnacentral:rRNA from 1 species
AAAUUGAAGAGUUUGAUCAUGGCUCAGAUUGAACGCUGGCGGCAGGCCUAACACAUGCAAGUCGAACGGUAACAGGAAACAGCUUGCUGUUUCGCUGACGAGUGGCGGACGGGUGAGUAAUGUCUGGGAAACUGCCUGAUGGAGGGGGAUAACUACUGGAAACGGUAGCUAAUACCGCAUAACGUCGCAAGACCAAAGAGGGGGACCUUCGGGCCUCUUGCCAUCGGAUGUGCCCAGAUGGGAUUAGCUAGUAGGUGAGGUAACGGCUCACCUAGGCGACGAUCCCUAGCUGGUCUGAGAGGAUGACCAGCCACACUGGAACUGAGACACGGUCCAGACUCCUACGGGAGGCAGCAGUGGGGAAUAUUGCACAAUGGGCGCAA